AUUGAACGCUGGCGGCAGGCUUAACACAUGCAAGUCGAACGAGUGGCGGACGGGUGAGUAUUUCUUGGGAAUCUGGCUUAUGGAGGGGGAUAACGACGGGAAACUGUUGCCAAUACCGCGUACCAUAGGAUGAGCCCAAGUGGGAUUAGGUAGUUGGUGGGGUAAUGGCCCACCAAGGCGACCAUCUCUAGCUGGUCUGAGAGGAUGACGAGGCACCCCGGGACGUAGACCCGGCCCGGAAUCCUACGGGAGGCAGCCGUGGGGAAUCUUCCGCAAUGGGCGCAAGUCUGACGGAGCAACGCCGCGUGAGUGAUGACGGCCUUCGGGUUGUAAAGCUCUGUUAAUCGGGAGACGGUACCGGAAUAGAAAGCCACGGCUAACUACGUGCCAGCAGCCGCGGUAAUUC
rnacentral:rRNA from 1 species